rnacentral:rRNA from 1 species
UACAGAGGGGGCAAGCGUUAUUCGGAAUUAUUGGGCGUAAAGGGCGCGUAGGCGGCCUGGCAAGUGGAAGGUGAAAUCCCUCGGCUUAACCGAGGAACUGCCCUCCAAACUGCUUGGCUUGAGUCCGGGAGAGGUGAGUGAAAUUCCCAGUGUAGCGGUGAAAUGCGUAGAUAUUGGGAGGAACACCAGUGGCGAAGGCGGCUCACUGGACCGGAACUGACGCUGAGGCGCGAAAGCGUGGGGAGCAAACGGG